rnacentral:rRNA from 1 species
UACGUAGGCAGCAAGCGUUGUUCGGAGUUACUGGGCGUAAAGGGUGCGUAGGCGGCUUUUUAAGUUUGGUGUGAAAUCUCCCGGCUCAACUGGGAGGGUGCGCCGAAUACUGAGAGGCUAGAGUGUGGGAGAGGAAAGUGGAAUUCCUGGUGUAGCGGUGAAAUGCGUAGAUAUCAGGAGGAACACCGGCGGUGUAAACGGCUUUCUGGACCAUAACUGACGCUGAGGCACGAAAGCGUGGGUAGCAAACAGG